GGUUUCACAUUAUCCAGACGAUGUUCGGCUGUGGUUUCCGGGAAGACAACACCAUUUGGGGGUUUUACCAGGAUUCAUAUGAUGGACGAGACUUUCUUACCUUCGAUAAGGAGACCAUGACAUGGGUAGCAGCAGAUAUUGGGGCUCAGAUCACCAAGAGGCGAUGGGAUGCUGAAAUAAAUGACAACCAGGGAUGGAAACACUACCUGGAGGAGAUAUGUAUUUCCUGGCUAAGGAAUUCUCUAGAGUAUGGGAAGGAGACUCUGCAGAGGAAAGUGCGCCCAACAGCUAGAGUGAGUGACAGGUCAUCUCAUGACGGCCUCACCACCCUCUCCUGUAAGGUCAGUGGGUUCUACCCACGGGACAUCACCGUGGCGUGGCUGAAAAAUGGGGAGAGCAGACAGCAGGAGACCUACUCGGAAGGCAUCUUACCCAGUGGGGACGGGACCUACCAGACCUGGGUGACAAUGGAGAUUGAUCCCAAGAUCAAGGCCCAUUAUUCAUGUCACGUGGAGCAUGAAAGCCUGUUAGAGCCACUCUCUGUCCCCUGGGAACCAAAUAACAGUCUGAUUCCCGUUGUGGCUGGAGUUAUCACUGCAGUUGUCCUGAUUGGUGGUAUAAUCGGAGUAGUCAUCUGGAAAAAGAAACGCUCAGGGAGGAAGGGAGACGGCUACGCUGUAGCUCAGGGCCUUGUCUACACUGAGGAUUUUAGAGAAAUCUCCAACUAUUGCUCCAGUACCAUAGAAUCGUAGGACUGGAAGGGACCUCGAGAGGACACCAAGUCCAGUUCCCUGCACUCAUGGCAGGACUAGCAAAUGACCAAGGAUCUAGUGUCUCUGACGUGGCUGCCAAGGCUUAACAGAGCCUGUUGGAGUCUGUGCCACAACCUGAGGGGAUCCCAGAGAGGAAGACCCAGGACACCGGACGAGAGCUUUCCAGCAAGUUGAAAGAAGAUAUAAAAGGAGAAAGGAACACACAUAAGUGACCUCACUUUCCCCACAAUGCCACACCUACAAGGACUGGGGGAAAAAGAUUGAACUGGGGGGGAGUUGCUGGUCUGAGGCAGGAAAGAAGGAAGCCUGUCUGUGUAUGCAAAAGCUAACCUGUGUGUACUGGGUAAGACACUGCUUGAUACAAAUCCUGUCUAGUGUAUAAAACUUAGCUUGCAAUUUUCUUUAUUUGCUAGGUCAUGUACUUUGGUCUGUUUGCUAUCUCUUAUAAUCACUUAAA